GGAUCGCAGAAAGGGUGUUAUCUUAACUGUGAUUCUUUUAAUCCAGGUCUUAAUGAAGGAUAUGGAAGAUUCAAAUUCAGUGUGCCAGAAGCAAAUGUAUUCAGUGUCUGAGACGGUGGCAUAAACCACAGGAAGCCUCCCUGCAACCCACUCUAAUCUUGAGUGAGUAUCUUACUCAGUAUUU
rnacentral:lncRNA from 11 species